UGGGGAAUCUUGCACAAUGGGGGAAACCCUGAUGCAGCGACGCCGCGUGAACGAUGAAGCCCUUCGGGGUGUAAAGUUCUUUCGACAGGAACGAUAAUGACGGUACCUGGAGAAGGAGCUGCGGCUAACUACGUGCCAGCAGCCGCGGUAAUACGUAGGCAGCGAGCGUUGUUCGGAGUUACUGGGCGUAAAGAGUGCGUAGGCGGCGAGCCAAGUUUGGUGUGAAAUCUCCCGGCUUAACCGGGAGGGUGCGCCGAAAACUGGUUGGCUGGAGUAUGGGAGAGGAAAGCGGAAUUCCUGGUGUAGCGGUGAAAUGCGUAGAUAUCAGGAGGAACACCUGCGGUGUAGACAGCUUUCUGGACCAAAACUGACGCUGAGGCACGAAAGCGUGGGUAGCAAACA
rnacentral:rRNA from 1 species